AUUGAACGCUGGCGGCAGGCCUAACACAUGCAAGUCGAGCGGAUGAAGGGAGCUUGCUCCUGGAUUCAGCGGCGGACGGGUGAGUAAUGCCUAGGAAUCUGCCUGGUAGUGGGAGAUAACGUCCGGAAACGGGCGCUAAUACCGCAUACGUCCUGAGGGAGAAAGUGGGGGAUCUUCGGACCUCACGCUAUCAGAUGAGCCUAGGUCGGAUUAGCUAGUUGGUGGGGUAAAGGCCUACCAAGGCGACGAUCCGUAACUGGUCUGAGAGGAUGAUCAGUCACACUGGAACUGAGACACGGUCCAGACUCCUACGGGAGGCAGCAGUGGGGAAUAUUGGACAAUGGGCGAAAGCCUGAUCCAGCCAUGCCGCGUGUGUGAAGAAGGUCUUCGGAUUGUAAAGCACUUUAAGUUGGGAGGAAGGGCAGUAAGUUAAUACCUUGCUGUUUUGACGUUACCAACAGAAUAAGCACCGGCUAACUCCGUG
rnacentral:rRNA from 1 species